rnacentral:rRNA from 1 species
AGGUGAAUCGUAAGGUUUGCUGGAGGUAUCAGAAGUGCGAAUGCUGACAUGAGUAACGACAAAGGGGGUGAAAAACCUCCUCGCCGGAAGACCAAGGGUUCCUGUCCAACGUUAAUCGGGGCAGGGUGAGUCGACCCCUAAGGUGAGGCCGAAAGGCGUAAUCGAUGGGAAACGGGUUAAUAUUCCCGUACUUCUGACUAUUGCGAUGGGGGGACGGAGAAGGCUAGGUGGGCCAGGCGACGGUUGUCCUGGUUCAAGUGCGUAGGCUUGAGAGUUAGGUAAAUCCGGCUCUCUCUAAGGCUGAGACACGACGUCGAGCUACUACGGUAGUGAAGUCAUUGAUGCCAUGCUUCCAGGAAAAGCCUCUAAGCUUCAGAUAGUCAGGAAUCGUACCCCAAACCGACACAGGUGGUCGGGUAGAGAAUACCAAGGCGCUUGAGAGAACUCGGGUGAAGGAACUAGGCAAAAUGGUACCGUAACUUCGGGAGAAGGUACGCUCUUGAUGGUGAAGUCCCUCGCGGAUGGAGCUGACGAGAGUCGCAGAUACCAGGUGGCUGCAACUGUUUAUUAAAAACACAGCACUGUGCAAAAUCGCAAGAUGACGUAUACGGUGUGACGCCUGCCCGGUGCCGGAAGGUUAAUUGAUGGGGUUAGCGCAAGCGAAGCUCUUGAUCGAAGCCCCGGUAAACGGCGGCCGUAACUAUAACGGUCCUAAGGUAGCGAAAUUCCUUGUCGGGUAAGUUCCGACCUGCACGAAUGGCGUAAUGAUGGCCACGCUGUCUCCACCCGAGACUCAGUGAAAUUGAAAUCGCUGUGAAGAUGCAGUGUACCCGCGGCUAGACGGAAAGACCCCGUGAACCUUUACUACAGCUUGGCACUGAACAUUGAACCUACAUGUGUAGGAUAGGUGGGAGGCUAUGAAGACGUGACGCCAGUUGCGUUGGAGCCGUCCUUGAAAUACCACCCUUGUAUGUUUGAUGUUCUAACUUAGACCCAUUAUCUGGGUUGAGGACAGUGCCUGGUGGGUAGUUUGACUGGGGCGGUCUCCUCCCAAAGAGUAACGGAGGAGCACGAAGGUGGGCUAAUCACGGUUGGACAUCGUGAGGUUAGUGCAAUGGCAUAAGCCCGCUUAACUGCGAGAAUGACGGUUCGAGCAGGUGCGAAAGCAGGUCAUAGUGAUCCGGUGGUUCUGUAUGGAAGGGCCAUCGCUCAACGGAUAAAAGGUACUCCGGGGAUAACAGGCUGAUACCGCCCAAGAGUUCAUAUCGACGGCGGUGUUUGGCACCUCGAUGUCGGCUCAUCACAUCCUGGGGCUGAAGUCGGUCCCAAGGGUAUGGCUGUUCGCCAUUUAAAGUGGUACGCGAGCUGGGUUUAGAACGUCGUGAGACAGUUCGGUCCCUAUCUGCCGUGGGCGUUGGAAGAUUGAAGGGGGCUGCUCCUAGUACGAGAGGACCGGAGUGGACGAACCUCUGGUGUUCGGGUUGUGUCGCCAGACGCAUUGCCCGGUAGCUAAGUUCGGAAUUGAUAAGCGCUGAAAGCAUCUAAGCGCGAAGCGAGCCCUGAGAUGAGUCUUCCCUGACAGUUUAACUGUCCUAAAGGGUUGUUCGAGACUAGAACGUUGAUAGGCAGGGUGUGUAAGCGUUGUGAGGCGUUGAGCUAACCUGUACUAAUUGCCCGUGAGGCUUAACCAU